GAUAAACGCGGCGGCGUGCAUAACACAUGCAAGUCGAACGAUGAAACUUAGCUGAUUUCUUCGGAAUGAAAUUAAGUGGAUUAGUGGCGAACGGGUGAGUAACACGUGAGUAACCUGCCUUACACAAGGGGAUAGCCUUUGGAAACGAAGAAUAAUACCCUAUGACGUCAAAAUAUCGCAUGAUAUAGUGACCAAAGAUUUAUCGGUGUAAGAUGGACUUGCGUCUGAUUAGCUAGUUGGUGAGAUAAAAGCCCACCAAGGCGACGAUCAGUAGCCGGCUUGAGAGAGUGUACGGCCACAUUGGGACUGAGACACGGCCCAAACUCCUACGGGAGGCAGCAGUGGGGAAUUUUGCACAAUGGGGGAAACCCUGAUGCAGCGACGCCGCGUGAUUUAGAAGGCCUUCGGGUUGUAAAAAUCUUUUUUAUGGGAUGAAAAUGACAGUACCAUAAGAAUAAGGUCCGGCUAAAUACGUGCCAGCAGCCGCGGUAAUACGUAUGGACCGAGCGUUGUCCGGAAUCAUUGGGCGUAAAGGGUACGUAGGCGGCCUAGUAAGUUAGAAGUGAAAUAAUAUAGCUCAACUAUAUAAAGCUUUUAAAACUGUUAGGCUUGAGAGAUGAAAGGGAAAGUGGAAUUCCUAGUGUAGCGGUGAAAUGCGCAGAUAUUAGGAAGAAUACCGGUGGCGAAGGCGACUUUCUGGUCAUCAUCUGACGCUGAGGUACGAAAGCGUGGGUAGCAAACAGG
rnacentral:rRNA from 1 species